rnacentral:rRNA from 1 species
GACGUAUCGGAUACUGGGCGUAAGCGUGCGCAGGCGGUUUCGUAAGACAGAGGUGAAAUCCCCGGGCUCAACCUGGGAACUGCCUUUGUGACUGCGAAGCUAGAGUACGGCAGAGGGGGGUGGAAUUCCACGUGUAGCAGUGAAAUGCGUAGAGAUGUGGAGGAACACCGAUGGCGAAGGCAGCCCCCUGGGCCGAUACUGACGCUCAUGCACGAAAGCGUGGGUAGCAAACAGGAUUAGAUACCCUGGUAGUCCACGCCCUAAACGAUGUCAACUAGGUGUUGGGUGGGUAAAACCAUUUAGUACCGUAGCUAACGCGUGAAGUUGACCGCCUGGGGAGUACGGCCGCAAGGUUAAAACUCAAAGGAAUUGACGGGGACCCGCACAAGCGGUGGAUGAUGUGGAUUAAUUCGAUGCAACGCGAAAAACCUUACCUACCCUUGACAUGUUCAGAAUCCUGGAGAGAUUUGGGAGUGCCCGAAAGGGAGCUGGAACACAGGUGCUGCAUGGCUGUCGUCAGCUCGUGUCGUGAGAUGUUGGGUUAAGUCCCGCAACGAGCGCAACCCUUGUCGUUAAUUGCCAUCAUUUAGUUGGGCACUUUAACGAGACUGCCGGUGACAAACCGGAGGAAGGUGGGGAUGACGUCAAGUCCUCAUGGCCCUUAUGGGUAGGGCUUCACACGUCAUACAAUGGUCGGUACAGAGGGUUGCCAAGCCGCGAGGUGGAGCCAAUCCCAGAAAGCCGAUCGUAGUCCGGAUUGCAGGCUGCAACUCGCCUGCAUGAAGUCGGAAUCGCUAGUAAUCGCGGAUCAGCAUGUCGCGGUGAAUACGUUCCCGGGUCUUGUACACACCGCCCGUCACACCAUGGGAGCGGGUUCCGCCAGAAGUAGGUAGCCUAACCGCAAGGGGGGCGCUUACCACGGCGGGGUUCGUGACUGGGGUGAAGUCGUAACAAGGUACCCGU